GGGCCGGGGACAUCCCGGGCGAGAGUCGGGACGGAGGCUCCACGGGCGCAGUGACGCUCUGCGUGGGCGAUCCCGAGGUACCGAGGGGUGCGAGGAGAGCGAGGAGCCCGAGG